rnacentral:tRNA from 1 species
CGCAAUAGCUCAGCCGGUAGAGCGUUUCACUCGUAAUGAAAAGGUCGCCGGUUCGAAUCCGGCUUGCG